UGGGGAAUUUUGGACAAUGGGGGAAACCCUGAUCCAGCCAUCCCGCGUGUGCGAUGAAGGCCUUCGGGUUGUAAAGCACUUUUGGCAGGAAAGAAACGUCAUGGGUUAAUACCCCGUGAAACUGACGGUACCUGCAGAAUAAGCACCGGCUAACUACGUGCCAGCAGCCGCGGUAAUACGUAGGGUGCAAGCGUUAAUCGGAAUUACUGGGCGUAAAGCGUGCGCAGGCGGUUCGGAAAGAAAGAUGUGAAAUCCCAGAGCUAAACUUUGGAACUGCAUUUUUAACUAACGGGCUAGAGUGUGUCAGAGGGAGGUGGAAUUCCGCGUGUAGCAGUGAAAUGCGUAGUUAUGCGGAGGAACACCGAUGGCGAAGGCAGCCUCCUGGGAUAACCCUGACGCUCAUGCACGAAAGCGUGGGGAGCAAACAGG
rnacentral:rRNA from 1 species